rnacentral:rRNA from 1 species
UACGUAGGGUGCAAGCGUUGUCCGGAAUUAUUGGGCGUAAAGAGCUCGUAGGCGGUCUGUCGCGUCUGCUGUGAAAACUCGGGGCUUAACCCCGGGCCUGCAGUGGGUACGGGCAGACUAGAGUGCGGUAGGGGAGACUGGAAUCCCUGGUGUAGCGGUGAAAUGCGCAGAUAUCAGGAGGAACACCGGUGGCGAAGGCGGGUCUCUGGGCCGUAACUGACGCUGAGGAGCGAAAGCGUGGGGAGCGAACAGG